CCAGGGUGAGAUCUAAAACCUGCAGGACACUGGCCCUCAAGGCCUGGAGUUGGCCACCCCUGUCCUAUAGUAUCUCCACAACCUCUUGUGUGUCCUAAUGACUGUAGAUACAGGUUGUUGCUUAACAAGACAAACACACUUUCAUAUCAGCAGAUCGAGCUAGUGAUCAGCUCUGCAAAUCGGGUGGGGUGAGGGCAGUGGCACUGUAUAAAUUUGCUUAUGACUUGCGUAGUGCUCUGGUGGUACAACUUACAAACUGUUGAAAAGUUGGUAAUCAGGGGGUGGAGGUCCUCCAUGGGGAAGGGGGUCUGACAAAGAAAAUGAACCAAAUCAAAAAAGCAGAUCCAUCAGUAAGUACAUUUCAUUAAAGGUAGAAUUUCACAGGAAUAUUAUGGAACUUGAAAAAACUUGAAACUUUUAUUGUCAUUGUACUAUUGCUUGCACAGUGAAAUUAGGUAGCAAGCCCACAAAGGUGCAAAAGCAAAGAAAACAAUAUACAAGAAAAGAAAAAAAAACAGUAUAAUAACACUAUAUGCACAAUUUUUGGGUUACAGGAAGUAUUUUGGGGGUGUGUACAAGGACAUUGUAAUGAAAUAUAAUAAAUAAAAAAUAAGGGUGGAAGGGCUUUGGUCGUUAAGGAUAGGGAUGGAAAUUGCACAUCUGACAAAAUAUUGCACGGAGGGGAAAAAAAUGGCAGUAACAUAAUAAAUGGCAAAUAGCAGGGUCAGAAUGAUUGUAUGGGUGAGGUCUGCUCCCAGUCUUAACUUGCAUUUAUGGUUCUGACAUCCCAUGGAUAGAAGCUGUUCUUUAGUCUAUUGGUUUCACACCUGAUGGAACUGAACCUUUUUCCAGAGGGCAGGAUGUUGAAUAGAUGGUGGCUUGGAUGGAGAUGGUCUUUUAUAUUUGCCCUGACUCUAGAGAGGCAUCUAGAGCUGGCAAUGGAGUCCAGGGAGGAGAGUGGACAGCCAAUCACCUUCUCUGCAGUUCUGAUGACUCUCUGGAGUCUGUUCUUAUCAGCUGUUGUGCAACCAGCGUAACACACGGGGAUGGUGUGCACCAGCACACUCUCAAUUGUUGCUUGAUAGAAGGACACUAGUAGGUCAGUCUGCAGCCUGUUCUAUCUUAGAACCCUAAAGAAAUGGAGGCUCUGUUGGGAUUUCGUCACCAAGGCUGAUGUGUUUGUACUUCAGGAUAGGUCCUCAGAAAUGUGGGUACAGAGGAACUUAAAGGAGGACACCCGCUCCACAAAGUUGCCUUAUAUAGAGGGGGAAGAGGGAUCAGUUUUUGUCUUGUGCAAGUCUAAGACCACUUCCUUGGUUUUCCUGGUGUUGAGGGUCAGGUUAUUGUGGUCACACCAUUCUGUCAGACAUUGGAUAUCAUCUAUGUAAGCGGUGUCGUCAUCGUUGGUGAUGAGUGCUGUCUGCAAAUCUGAUGAUGUGUGGGGGUGCAGUCGCUGGUGUAGAUGCAGCAUAAGAGAGAACUCAGCACACAUGCCUGCGGUGAGCCAGUGCUCAGUGACAGGGAGGAUGAUCUCCGGUUGCCAACCUUGACAGAUUAUGAUCGGUCUGUAAGAAAGUUUUUGAUCCAUCCACAUGUAGCGGGGGAAGAAGUCCAGGUUUACCAGCUUGGCUAUAAGGAUGUCUGGGAUGAUGGUUUUAAAAGCCAAGCUGAAAUCAAUGAAGAGCAUCCUUACUGAAGUCCCAGGAUUCUCCAGGUGAUGCAGAGCAGAGUGGAGGGCAGUGGAAAUUGCAUCCUGCCUUAUAGGCAAACUGAUGGGGGUCAAAGCUGGGUGGGUGGCAGUCCUUUAUGUGCUAUAGGAAGCUGCUUCUCAAAGCACUUAGCAACCACUGGAGUCAGUGCAAUGGGUCUGUAAUCAUUGAGGCCACUGAUGGUGGUGGACUUGGGGACUGGGACUAUUGCUGCUGAUUUCAGUGAGGGACAGUGGCAUGUAACAGGGAGAGGUUGAAUAGCCUGGCUUUGAGCACGCUCCCAGGUAUUCCAUGUAGGGCCUGUGGCUUCUCUCUCAUAUUAACUGCUCUAAACACAUUGCAAACCCGGUGUUCUUGGUGUGUGGGCUGUGCUCAGAGGAGGCUAUGGGCAGGGUGGUGUGCAUCGUAGGGGUGUCUACAGUUCUCCCAAAGCAGGCGAAGAAGUGGUUAAGUUCCUUUGCCAAUGAGAUGUCCAUGUUAUCUGUAUUUGUCCUGUUACCUGCGGAGUUGGUGAUGUGUUUCUGGCCCUCCUAUACCUUUUUAGGGUUGUUAUCUGAGAUUUGUGUGCACAGUUGCAGACUUGCCUGAACCUUACUUGUCAUUCAGGGUUUACAAUUGGGGUAGGCCCAGACCCACUUUUCUGUGGUGACAGUGUCCAUGCAAUGCAUGAUGUAAACCAGCACUGCAGCAGUGUGAGUCUCUAGUUUGACAUGUUCGAAGACUCUCCACUCUGUGAGGGCGAAACCGUUCUGCAGCUGUGCCAGAGCUUCCUCAGAAAAGGUGUUGAAAGUUCUGAUGUUAGGCUUUGUCCUUUUUCUGAGUGGUGUGUUUGCCGGGACAACAAGCAGAGAGAGGUGGUCAGAUAUACUGUGGUGGGGGAGGGGAACAGAUCUGUAAACAUGGUCCAAGGUGUUAUUUCCUCUCAUGGGUCACAUGUUGAACAAAUUUAGGUAGCACAGUCACAGUUCUUAAGCAUGCUUUGUUGAAAUCCCCUACGAUUAUGUGUACUCCUUCUGGAUAUGUCCGUUGCUGUUCAGAGAUCAAGUCAUGCAGGUAGGCAAAGGCUGAGCUAACAUUUGCAUCUGGUGGUAUAAAGACUGGUGUUAUUAGCACUGUGGGCAGUUCUCUGGGGAAAUAGAAAGGUCUGCACACGACAGACAUUGCCUCUAUGUCCAGGGAGCAGACUAUGAUGAUGAUCUUAGUGUUUGUGCACCAGUUGUUAUGUGUGUAAAUGCUUUUGCACAAACUCUGCUUUUCCCCGCUGUAGCCAUUCAGUCGCUGAGGUGCAUUGUGCAGCCUGCUAGUUUCAUGUCUCUGUGACGACCAAGACACAACAGUUGUGGACGAGUGGCUGUGCAGCGAGAGGAAGGUUCAGUUCGUCUAUUUUGUUGACGACCGACCAUGGUUGGUCAAGAAGAUGCUGAGAAGCAGUGGUGUAAAGGGCUGCUUCUUUAGCCUGGCUAGCUAAUGUAAAAGUAAAGAAAGUAUACUUAGCUACAGAAGGACAUUUAAGUUGCCAGAAUUCCUGGUGUUAGUAAAGACAAAAGCAGUUAUUCAGUACAAAUGUACUGACUUUUUUUUUUUUAAUUAGGUCAAAGAGAGGGUGCAAAAUUUUUAAAAUGUAAAAGUAAAACAUCAUAGUUUAAAUGUAAUGUACAGACUUACCUUUUUUUGUGACAAUGAAUGUAAAUUAUGGGCUGGAUUCAAAUUGUCAGUGGGCUCUGAGUUAGAAACAUACACUUAUGGGAUGUUGUGGAAGCCUUUAACUAAUUUAACUGAUAAUGCUUUCACUA